rnacentral:rRNA from 1 species
GGCAGCAGUGGGGAAUAUUGGACAAUGGACCAAGAGUCUGAUCCAGCAAUUCUGUGUGCACGAUGACGUUUUUCGGAAUGUAAAGUGCUUUCAGUUGGGAAGAAAAAAAUGACGGUACCAACAGAAGAAGUGACGGCUAAAUACGUGCCAGCAGCCGCGGUAAUACGUAUGUCACAAGCGUUAUCCGGACUUAUUGGGCGUAAAGCGCGUCUAGGUGGUUAUGUAAGUCUGAUGUGAAAAUGCAGGGCUCAACUCUGUAUUGCGUUGGAAACUGUAUAACUAGAGUACUGGAGAGGUAAGCGGAACUACAAGUGUAGAGGUGAAAUUCGUAGAUAUUUGUAGGAAUGCCGAUGGGGAAGCCAGCUUACUGGACAGAUACUGACGCUAAAGCGCGAAAGCGUGGGUAGCAAACAGGAUUAGAUACCCUGGUAGUCCACGCCAUAAACGAUGAUUACUAGGUGUUGGGGGUCGAACCUCAGCGCCCAAGCAAACGCGAUAAGUAAUCCGCCUGGGGAGUACGUACGCAAGUAUGAAACUCAAAUGAAUUGACGG